rnacentral:rRNA from 1 species
UACGAAGGGGGCUAGCGUUGCUCGGAAUCACUGGGCGUAAAGCGCACGUAGGCGGACUCUUAAGUCGGUGGUGAAAUCCUGGAGCUCAACUCCAGAACUGCCUUCGAUACUGAGAGUCUUGAGUCCGGGAGAGGUGAGUGGAACUGCGAGUGUAGAGGUGAAAUUCGUAGAUAAUUCGCAAGAACACCAGUGGCGAAGGCGGC